GACGAACGCUGGCGGCGUGCUUAACACAUGCAAGUCGAACGGUGAAGCGCCUUCCUUUUUGGUGGGUGUGGAUGAGUGGCGAACGGGUGAGUAACACGUGAGUAACCUGCCCCCUUCUUCUGGAUAACCGCAUGAAAGUGUGGCUAAUACGGGAUAUUCUGGGUCUGUCGCAUGAUGGGUCUGGGAAAGAUAUUGUUUCGGUGGGGGAUGGGCUCGCGGCCUAUCAGCUUGUUGGUGGGGUGAUGGCCUACCAAGGCGGUGACGGGUAGCCGGCCUGGGAGGGUGGACGGUCACGCUGGGACGGAGACACGGCCCAGACUCCUACGGGAGGCAGCAGUGGGGAAUAUUGCACAAUGGGCGCAAGCCUGAUGCAGCGACGCCGCGUGAGGGAUGGAGGCCUUCGGGUUGUGAACCUCUUUCGCCAGUGAAGCAGGCCUGCCUCGUUUGUGGGUGGGUUGACGGUAGCUGGAUAAGAAGCGCCGGCUAACUACGUG
rnacentral:rRNA from 1 species